AUGUUCUCUACAUCUCUACUGCUCCUGCUGGCAGCUGCUUCUUAUGUGUGUUGCAUCAGUCUGACCUCGUCUCCUGAUGAGGCUAAAUCUCCCGGAGCCUCCGUGAAGUUGUCCUGUCAGAUUUCUGGCUAUGCCCUCACUGACUAUGGAACAGUCUGGAUCAAGCAAGCUCCAGGAAAAGGCUUAGAGUGGAUCGGGAUCAUAUGGGGUGGUGGAAGCAUAGACUAUGGAACUUCCUUUAAAACUCGUUUCAGCAUCUCCAGAGACACGAGCAACAAUGUGCUUUACUUAGAUAUCAGCAGCCUGGUGUCAGAGGACACGGCUGUUUACUACUGUGCAAAGACAGACACAGCUGUACAGCUCAGUGCUAGAGGUGUACAAAAACAUCAUCAAUAAAAAUGCAAGGAUGAUCAAAUUAACAAGUAAUACAUUAUAAUGGGGAAAAACCCUCUCUUUCACCA